rnacentral:tRNA from 9 species
GGCCUGGUAGCUCAGUUGGUAGAGCACUUGAUUGAAGCUCAAGGUGUCGGCAGUUCGAUUCUGUCCCAGGCCACCA